CCCUUAGAUGUUCUGGGCCGCACGCGCGCUACACUGACGAAGUCAGCGAGCAUGUCCUACGCCGACAGGUGCGGGGAAUCUUGUCAAACUUCGUCGUGAUGGGGAUUGAUUAUUGAAAUUCUUGAUCAUCAACGAGGAAUUCCUAGUAAGCGCAAGUCAGCAGCUUGCGUUGAUUACGUCCCUGCCCUUUGUACACACCGCCCGUCGCUACUACCGAUUGAAUGGUUUAGUGAGAUCUUCGGAUUGGCGCCACUGCGGCUCAGCAAUGGGCUCGGUGGAUGCCGAAAAGUUGAUCAAACUUGAUCAUUGAGAGGAAGUAAAAGGCGUAACA
rnacentral:rRNA from 1 species